UGAGUAGAGCUGCUGCAUGUGGGCUCAUACUGGUCAUGAACAUUCUGAAGUGAAGAGUAGGCAAGAGAUGGUUUGGGGUUAAAGACAUAGGCUGUGCGGGCUAGCAGCCUGAAAUUCCACAAAGUUGUCCUCUGUUCUCCAUGUGUAUGCCCAGGCACCUGUUCUGACAGACAGACGGUGGGUUCACAUGAUGAUAAAUAAAAAUUUUAAAAACCGAAGUUAGUCUGAAGCAGGGUUACUAAUGACAUUUGGUAUAGGACUGCUUUCUGUCGUGACAUUUGGUAUGUGUGUGUAGCUGUGGUCUGUGCCCUUGCCAUUGUUCAUUGAAUUGAGGCCUUUUAUGGCUUGGUCACUGUUGUCACUUUCACUCAAAAAAGACGCAAUUAGGAAUGUAAUCUGCAUGCGUAGUGUUUAACUCCUACAUGUUUUAAGACAGGGCAUAACACUUAGGUGAUAGAUGUUAAGUUAGGUUAAUCAAACUCAGCUGUGCUCCAUGCUAGAGUUUCUGAGAGCCAAGCUGACUGUUCUGCCUAUCCUCACCCAGAAUUUGAUGACCUUAGCUCAGCCUGAUGCAGUGGUGCACAUCCUUAGUCUCAGUACUCAAAGACAGAGGCAGGCGGAUCUCUGAGUUAAAGACUAGCCUGGUCUACAUAGUUCAGGGACUGCUAGUGAGACCUUACAUAGUGAGAUCCUAUCUGAAAAAAAAAAAAAAAAA
rnacentral:lncRNA from 1 species